UACGGAGGGUGCGAGCGUUGUCCGGAAUCACUGGGCGUAAAGGGCGCGUAGGCGGCGCGGGCAGUCAACGGUGAAAGCUUGGGGCUCAACCCCGAGUCGGCCGUCGAUACUCCCGUGCUGGAGCACUGUAGAGGCAGGUGGAAUUCCGGGUGUAGCGGUGGAAUGCGUAGAGAUCCGGAGGAAUACCAGUGGCGAAAGCGGCGCUCUGGGUCGAGCCUGACACUGAGACGCGAAGGCAUGGGGAGCGAACGGG
rnacentral:rRNA from 1 species